UGGGGAAUUUUGGACAAUGGGCGAAAGCCUGAUCCAGCAAUGCCGCGUGUGUGAAGAAGGCCUUCGGGUUGUAAAGCACUUUUGCCCGGAAAGAAAUCCUUGGCUCUAAUACAGUCGGGGGAUGACGGUACCGGAAGAAUAAGCACCGGCUAACUACGUGCCAGCAGCCGCGGUAAUACGUAGGGUGCAAGCGUUAAUCGGAAUUACUGGGCGUAAAGCGUGCGCAGGCGGUUUGCUAAGACCGAUGUGAAAUCCCCGGGCUCAACCUGGGAACUGCAUUGGUGACUGGCAGGCUAGAGUAUGGCAGAGGGGGGUAGAAUUCCACGUGUAGCAGUGAAAUGCGUAGAGAUGUGGAGGAAUACCGAUGGCGAAGGCAGCCCCCUGGGCCAAUACUGACGCUCAUGCACGAAAGCGUGGGGAGCAAACAGGAUUAGAUACCCUGGUAGUCCACGCCCUAAACGAUGUCAACUGUUGUUGGGGAUUCAUUUCCUUAGUAACGUAGCUAACGCGUGAAGUUGACCGCCUGGGGAGUACGGUCGCAAGAUUAAAACUCAAAUGAAUUGACGGGGUCAUAGCUGUUUCCU
rnacentral:rRNA from 1 species